UACGUAGGGUGCAAGCGUUGUCCGGAAUUAUUGGGCGUAAAGAGCUCGUAGGCGGUCUGUCGCGUCUGCUGUGAAAACUCAGGGCUUAACCCUGAGCUUGCAGUGGGUACGGGCAGACUAGAGUGGCGGUAGGGAGACUGGAAUUCCUGGUGUAGCGGUGAAAUGCGCAGAUAUCAGGAGGAACACCGGUGGCGAAGGCGGGUCUCUGGGCCGUAACUGACGC
rnacentral:rRNA from 1 species